GCUCUCAUGGCCAUGGAAAACCCUGCCGUUCCUCAAAGAAAAACAAGGAAAAGCAGGAAGAGAUCCUUCACUAAUCCACUGGUCACAGGCAGGCGUGAGAAACGUCGGGAAACACACUGCCCUGGAUCAGUUGCUUCUCAAUCAAGAAGAAGGGAUCCUGUGCAUGAGGAAGGCCUUCAGAUAGAAGAUCAAGAGUUGGCAAGUCUUGAAACAAGGCUCCAAGAGUUAAGGGACACCAUAACUGCAGUGCAGGUUCCGGAGGGAACAGACAGACUGGUUUCUGCUUGGGAACAAAGGCAGCUUCUCACAGAUGUGAGAAUGAAAAGUGCUAGGCCUAUGCUUUUUGAUGCAAAGCUCUCAGCCCAGAGAGUUUUCAUCCAAAAUUGUCACAGAUGCUGUGUUGUAGAAGCUGUG